rfam:Levilinea saccharolytica strain KIBI-1 contig_6, whole genome shotgun sequence.
CAGCGACGCCAAGCUGGUGGACGCCCAGGCGGGUCUGGAAAGCGGCAUCAGUGCCGUGCUGGCUGCCCUGGCCGGGGUCAGCAUGGUCUCCGGCGCGG